rnacentral:rRNA from 1 species
CACGUAGUUAGCCGGCGCUUCUUCUGCAGGUACCGUCACUUUCGCUUCGUCCCUGCCGAAAGGGGUUUACAACCCGAAGGCCUUCAUCCCCCACGCGGCGUCGCUGCGUCAGGCUUUCGCCCAUUGCGCAAUAUUCCCCACUGCUGCCUCCCGUAGGAGUCUGGGCCGUGUCUCAGUCCCAGUGUGGCCGGUCGCCCUCUCAGGCCGGCUACCCGUCGUCGCCUUGGUAGGCCGUUACCCCACCAACAAGCUGAUAGGCCGCGAGCCCAUCCCUGGCCGAUAAAUCUUUCCACCACCGAAGAUGUCUAAAGUGGUCAUAUCCGGUAUUAAUUCCGGUUUCCCGGAGCUAUCCCAGAGCCAAGGGCAGGUUACUCACGUGUUACUCACCCGUUCGCCGCUCGAGUACCCCGAAGGGCCUUUCCGCUCGACUUGCAUGUGUUAAGCACGCCGCCAGCGUGUCCUGAGCCAGGAUCAAACUACU